CGGGGCGUAGCGCAGUCGGUAGCGUGCCACGUUUUGCACCUGGAUGUCGCUGGUUCGAAUCCAGUCGCCCCGACCA
rnacentral:tRNA from 1 species